GAUGAACGCUGGCGGCGUGCCUAACACAUGCAAGUCGAACGGAGUCCAGCCUUUAAGACCUUCGGGUCAAAGAGGGGAAGACUGAGUGGCGGACGGGUGAGUAACACGUGGGCAACCUGGCUCAUAGAGGGGGAUAACAGAGAGAAAUUUCUGCUAAUACCGCAUAAGCACACACUGCUGCAUGGCAGAGGGUGAAAAGAGAAUCGCUAUGAGAUGGACCCGCGUCUGAUUAGCCAGUUGGCAGGGUAAGAGCCUACCAAAGCGACGAUCAGUAGCCGAUCUGAGAGGAGGAACGGCCACAUUGGGACUGAGACACGGACCAAAAUCCUACGGGAGGCAGCAGUGGGGGAUAUUGCACAAUGGGGGGAAACCUGAUGCAGCGACGCCGCGUGAGUGAAGAAGUAUUUCGGUAUGUAAAGCUCUAUCAGCAGGGAAGAUAAUGACAGUACCUGAAUAAGAAGCCCCGGCUAACUACGUG
rnacentral:rRNA from 1 species